rnacentral:lncRNA from 1 species
UAAUAGACAUAUCUUAUGAACAUAUUACAAGACUGGCAGAAUUGUAUGAAUGCCAAAUCAGAACUGUAUUAAGAAAAUUUCUGAAAUUUUCUUGGGAAUUCUUCAAAUACAAAUUUUCAGUUUACUUUACAAACUCUAAUAGCACCUCAAAAAUAUGUUCUGCUAAUGAUUACAAAGUUGUUGGUUUCUUGCGUGACUUUCAAACUGAAUAAUGCAGUUAUGCUUUAAUGUAUUUCCAUAAUUAUUCUUAAAGUAAAAAACCAAAGUAUUUUUUAUCAUUAUGGAUAUUGUUGUUCUUUUUCUGCCGUUAGAAUUUCUGCUAAGAGAAUGUAAAACUAGUUCUGCCCUGAUCAAAAUGGAUGUCAGGUUAUCCUUAUCUCAUAGGCCGGAAUACAAGUUAUCACUGAAAUAUAAGUCUCGCGUGAUCAAACGGUAACAAUCGAGGUUGGUGUGGCAUUAGGUAAAAAUCGUCAGCUAAAAUGGCGGAAAGACGUCGACGUAGGAGACUAUCUGAGGAGGAGAGUGGUGAAGAGGUAUCAGAGGAUUCUAAAGAAGUUAAGACGCGUGAUUGUCCUUCCGAAUGCGUUAGUGAAGAUGAACAUUCAGAUGAAGUUGAAGUGUCUGAUUAUGAGAGUGUUGGUGAUGGAAAAAAAUCUACUGAAGCUGAAAAUGGAGAAAAGGAAGAUGAGGA